AUCCUGUGUAUGUUGCUUAUCAUGAUGAGGAAUGGGGAGUUCCAGUUCAUGAUGACAGGAUGUUGUUUGAGUUGCUUGUUCUAACAGGAGCUCAAGUGGGGAUGGACUGGACUACUAUACUGAAGAAGAGGAAUGAAUUCAGGGUGGCAUUUGCUGAAUUUGAUGCAGAGUCUGUCUCCAAGUUCACAGAGAAGCAGAUGGUUUCCAUCAGUGUGGAACUGAAGCUGGAUUUAGGAAGAGUUAGAGGAAUAUCACUAUCUACUUUAAAACAAAA